CCUACGGGAGUCAGCAGUGGGGACUAUUGCGCAAUGGGCGAAAGCCUGACGCAGCGACGCCGCGUGAGGGAUGAAAGUUCUCGGAUCGUAAACCUCUGUCAGAAGGGAAGAAAUUAUAUCAUGCUAAUCAGUGGUAUAUUGCCGGUACCUUCUAUGUGAGCACCGGCUAACUCCUGGCCAGCAGCCGCGGUAAUACGGAGGGUGCGAGCGUUAGUCGGAAUUACUGGGCGUACAGCGCCCGUAGGCUGUAUGACAAGUCAAGGGUGAAAUGCGACGGCGCAACCGGGGAACGGCCUUUGAAACGGUGAAACUGGAGUAUGUGAGAGGGCGGCGGAAGUCCUGGUGUAGGAGUGAAAUCCGUAGAUAUCAGGAGGAACAUCAGUGGCGAAGGCGGGCGCCUGGCACAAAACUGACGCUGAGGUGCGAAAGCGUGGGUAGCAAACAGGAUUAGAUACCCGAGUAGUC
rnacentral:rRNA from 1 species